rnacentral:rRNA from 1 species
GAUGAACGCUGGCGGCGUGCCUAAUACAUGCAAGUCGAACGAGGUCUUCGGACCUAGUGGCGAACGGGUGAGUAACACGUUGGUACCUACCCCGAAGUGGGGAAUAACCGCCCGAAAGGGUGGCUAAUACCGCAUAAUACCGCAAGGUUAAAGCAGUAAGGCGCUUCGGGAGGGGCCUGCGUCCCAUUGGCUAGUUGGUAGGGUAAUGGCCUACCAAGGCGACGAUGGGUAGCUGGAUCGAGAGGUUGACCAGCCACACUGGGACUGAGAUACGGCCCAGACUCCUACGGGAGGCAGCAGUAAGGAAUCUUACACAAUGGACGAAAGUCUAAUGGAGCAACGCCGCGUGCAGGAUGACGGCCUUCGGGUUGUAAACUGCUUUUAUACGGGAAGAUUAUGACGGUACCGUAUGAAUAAGGACCGGCUAACUACGUGCCAGCAGCCGCAGUAA